GACGAACGCUGGCGGCGUGCCUAAUACAUGCCAGUCGAGCGCUGAAGGUUGGUACUUGUACCAACUGGAUGAGCAGCGAACGGGUGAGUAACGCGUGGGGAAUCUGCCUUUGAGCGGGGGACAACUUUUGGAAACGAAUGCUAAUACCGCAUAAAAACUUUAAACACAAGUUUUAAGUUUGAAAGAUGCAAUUGCUUCACUCAAAGAUGAUCCCGCGUUGUAUUAGCUAGUUUGUGAGGGAAAGGCUCACCAAGGCGAAGAUACAUAGCCGACCUGAGAGGGGGAUCGGCCACAUUUGGAAUGGGACACGGCCCAAACUCCUACGGGAGGGAGCAGUAGGGAAUCUUCGGCAAUGGACGAAAGUCUGACCGGGCAACGCCGGGGGGGUGAAGAAGGGUUUCGGAUCGUAAAACCCUGUUGGUAGAGAAGAACGUUGGUGAGAGUGGAAAGCUCAUCAAGUGACGGUAACUACCCAGAAAGGGACGGCUAACUACGUG
rnacentral:rRNA from 1 species